rnacentral:rRNA from 1 species
GAUGAACGCUGGCGGCGUGCCUAAUACAUGCAAGUCGAGCGAACAGACGAGGAGCUUGCUCCUCUGACGUUAGCGGCGGACGGGUGAGUAACACGUGGAUAACCUACCUAUAAGUCUGGGAUAACUUCGGGAAACCGGAGCUAAUACCGGAUAAUAUAUUGAACCGCAUGGUUCAAUAGUGAAAGACGGUUUUGCUGUCACUUAUAGAUGGAUCCGCGCCGCAUUAGCUAGUUGGUAAGGUAACGGCUUACCAAGGCAACGAUGCGUAGCCGACCUGAGAGGGUGAUCGGCCACACUGGAACUGAGACACGGUCCAGACUCCUACGGGAGGCAGCAGUAGGGAAUCUUCCGCAAUGGGCGAAAGCCUGACGGAGCAACGCCGCGUGAGUGAUGAAGGUCUUCGGAUCGUAAAACUCUGUUAUUAGGGAAGAACAAAUGUGUAAGUAACUAUGUACGUCUUGACGGUACCUAAUCAGAAAGCCACGGCUAACUACGUG